rnacentral:rRNA from 1 species
AUGAAGCUGGAAUUGCUAGUAAUGGCAGGUCAGCAUACUGCCGUGAAUACGUUCCCGGGCCCUUGUACACACCGCCCGUCACACCAUGAGAGUUGGAAAUACCCGAAGCCUGUGAGCUAACUGUAAAGAGGCAGCAGUCGAAGGUAGAGCCAAUGAUUGGGGUGAAGUCGUAACAAGGUAGC